UACGUAGGGUGCAAGCGUUGUCCGGAAUUAUUGGGCGUAAGAGCUCGUAGGCGGUCUGUCGCGUCUGCUGUGAAAACUCGGGGCUUAACCCCGGGCCUGCAGUGGGUACGGGCAGACUAGAGUGCGGUAGGGGAGACUGGAAUUCCUGGUGUAGCGGUGGAAUGCGCAGAUAUCAGGAGGAACACCGAUGGCGAAGGCAGUUCUCUGGGCCGUAACUGACGCUGAGGAGCGAAAGCGUGGGGAGCGAACAGG
rnacentral:rRNA from 1 species